rnacentral:rRNA from 1 species
AGCCGCGGUAAUACGUAGGUGGCGAGCGUUGUCCGGAUUUAUUGGGCGUAAAGCGCGCGCAGGUGGUCCGUUGAGUCCUGUGUGAAAUCUCCCGGCUCACCCGGGAGGGGGCGCGGGAUACUGGGGGACUGGAGGCAGGCAGAGGCCGGUGGAAUUCCCGGUGUAGUGGUGAAAUGCGUAGAGAUCGGGAGGAACACCAGUGGCGAAAGCGGCCGGCUGGGCCCGUGCUGACACUGAGGCGCGAAAGCGUGGGGAGCGAAC